GACGAGUCAGAAACCGUUGAUGUAGGCGAAGGGCAUGCGAAAGGCCCGGCGUAGAGGGUAAGACCCCCGUAGCUGAAACAUCAGCGGCUCGUUUGAGUUAUUCCCAAGUAGCACGGGGCCCGAGAAAUCCCGUGUGAAUCUGGCGGGACCACCCGCUAAGCCUAAAUAUUCCCUGGUGACCGAUAGCGGAUAGUACCGUGAGGGAAUGGUGAAAAGUACCGCGGGAGCGGAGUGAAAUAGUACCUGAAACCGUGUGCCUACAAGCCGUGGGAGCGUCGGACGUGCUUUGCGCGUCUCGUGACUGCGUGCCUUUUGAAGAAUGAGCCUGCGAGUUAGCGGUGUGUAGCGAGGUUAACCCGUGUGGGGAAGCCGUAGCGAAAGCGAGUCCGAACAGGGCGUUUGAGUUGCACGCUCUAGACCCGAAGCGGAGUGAUCUAGCCAUGGGCAGGUUGAAGCGGAGGUAAGACUUCGUGGAGGACCGAACCCACCAGGGUUGAAAACCUGGGGGAUGACCUGUGGUUAGGGGUGAAAGGCCAAUCAAACUCCGUGAUAGCUGGUUCUCCCCGAAAUGCAUUUAGGUGCAGCGUCGUGUGUUUCUUGCCGGAGGUAGAGCACUGGAUAGGCGAUGGGCCCUACCGGGUUACUGACCUUAGCCAAACUCCGAAUGCCGGUAAGUGAGAGCGCGGCAGUGAGACUGUGGGGGAUAAGCUCCAUGGUCGAGAGGGAAACAGCCCAGAGCAUCGACUAAGGCCCCUAAGCGUACGCUAAGUGGGAAAGGAUGUGGAGUCGCAGAGACAACCAGGAGGUUGGCUUAGAAGCAGCCACCCUUGAAAGAGUGCGUAAUAGCUCACUGGUCAAGUGAUUCCGCGCCGACAAUGUAGCGGGGCUCAAGCGUACCGCCGAAGUCGUGUCAUUGCAGCAGAUAGCCCCAACGGGUGCUGUGAUGGGUAGGGGAGCGUCGUGUGCCGGGUGAAGCAGCCGCGGAAGCGAGUUGUGGACGGUUCACGAGUGAGAAUGCAGGCAUGAGUAGCGAUACACACGUGGGAAACGUGUGCGCCGAUUGACUAAGGGUUCCUGGGUCAAGCUGAUCUGCCCAGGGUAAGUCGGGACCUAAGGCGAGGCCGACAGGCGUAGUCGAUGGACAACCGGUUGAUAUUCCGGUACCCGCUUUGAAACGCCCAAUAUCGAGCCCAUUAAUGCUAAGGCCGUGAAGCCGCCGGCUGAGUCUUCGGACGAGGUCGGAGUGGUGGAGCCGCUGACCCAAGGUGGUAGUAGGUAAGCGAUGGGGUGACGCAGGAAGGUAGUCCAGCCCGGGCGGUGGUUGUCCCGGGGUAAGGGUGUAGCCCGAGAGAUAGGCAAAUCCGUCUCUCAUUGAGGGUGAGACCUGAUGCCGAGCCGAUUGUGGUGAAGUGGAUGAUCCUAUGCUGUCGAGAAAAGCCUCUAGCGAGUUUCAUGGCGGCCCGUACCCUAAACCGACUCAGGUGGUCAGGUAGAGAAUACCGAGGCGUUCGGGUGAACUAUGGUUAAGGAACUCGGCAAAAUGCCCCCGUAACUUCGGGAGAAGGGGGGCCACGUCUGGUGAUGAGUCUUGCACUCUGAGCUGGGUGUGG
rnacentral:rRNA from 1 species